ACACGACUCUCGGCAACGGAUAUCUAGGCUCUCGCAUCGAUGAAGAACGUAGCAAACUGCGAUACUUGGUGUGAAUUGCAGAAUCCCGUGAACCAUCGAGUCUUUGAACGCAAGUUGCGCCCGAAGCCAUUAGGCCGAGGGCACGUCUGCCUGGGCGUCACGUAUCGCGU
rnacentral:rRNA from 1 species